GCAAGUUGUCUUAUUAGCCAGCGGCGGUGAUCCAGUUCCCAAUGGAUCACUGAACUUGAGCAACGUUGCGCGUGGUUAGUAGCAGGAUGGGUGACCAGUUGGGCAAUCGUGUGCUGCUAGCU
rfam:Asian citrus Psyllid, Diaphorina citri - Florida Strain, whole genome shotgun sequence.